AGAAAGAGAAGGGGUUAAGUUGACAUGACCAGAACCCAUGACAAAAGAUUUAGUACCAUUAGCAAGAGUAACAUAAGAAGUCGAUGCAUGAGACUCAAGAUUGGACAAAAGGGUAGAAUUACCUGACAUAUGAUCGGUAGCACCAGAAUCAAUAAUCCAUUUGGAGGAUGAAGACACAAGACAUGCAGUAGAGUUACCUGACUCGGCAAUUGCAGUGAUAGAGGAGGAAUUAGAGGAUUUCAGAGAUACCUGGUAUUGGGUGAAUUGUGCAUACUCAUCUUCAGAUAUCAAAAUCCCUUGAUCUGAAGGGGCCUCAACUGCCAUAUGUGCCAUUUGUGUGCGCUGAUUCUUAUUCUGUAGUUUUUGAUAUGUCUUCUUAGUAUGUCCUGUUCGCGGC
rnacentral:lncRNA from 1 species